AUUAAAGGAAAACUAAAUGUUUUGAAAACAUAAAAUAAAACCUUUUAUAUGUAAA
rnacentral:tRNA from 1 species